AUGGAGCUUUUCAGGGAAUGCCUCGAUGACUGUGGAUUGUCUGAUCUUGGCUACUCUGGGCCUUGCUUUACAUGGACAAAUAAGCAGGAUAAAGGCCGGAAUGUCAAGGUUCGGUUGGACAGAGCGGUGGCAAAUGAAGAGUUCCUCAACUUGUUUGAGGAUUCUCAUGUGGAAAAUAUCAUCAAUACUUCUUUUGAUCACUAUGAUGUCCUUGUGACCCUUGCUCACGGCAAAACCAGUGAUAUAAGGCCCUAUCAGCACACUUUUAGAUAUGAAGCGGCGUGGCUUCGGGCGCCGACUAUAUGAAUGGAGAUGGUGAACCAUACAUGGAGUACUGAUGUGCAGCGACCUGCAACUCUCCGGUCUACCUGGAUAAAGUUAAAUUGUUUAGCAGUCUCUAUGAAAGAGUGGAGCAGUAAAUCUUUUGGCUCCAUUCGUAAAGAAAUCAACAUGCUUCAGCAGAGACUGUCGUGCCUUCAUGGGAGGCCUUCUUCCACAGAUGUCUCUGAGGAGGAACUUGGUAUUGAGCGCCGAUUGUGUGAGCUAUUUGAAAGAGAGGAAAUUAUGGUCAGGCAGCGCUCACGAAUUGAUUGGCUCAAGGAAGGUGACCGCAACACUUCGUUCUUCCAAACUCGUGCCACUGCCCGACGUCGCACGAACAAAAUCAGGCACCUCGUUCAUGAGGAUGGAUCGAUGUGUCAGGACCAUGUUGGCCUCAAAGGUAUGGCUCAUGCUUUCUGUAAAAAGCUAUUUACCUCUGAACUGUGUGAGUCCUUGGAUGCAGUUUAGGAUGCUAUUUCACCAAAGGUUAGUGAGGAGAUGAAU
rnacentral:rRNA from 1 species